AUUGAACGCUGGCGGCAGGCCUAACACAUGCAAGUCGAACGAGUGGCGGACGGGUGAGUAAUGUCUGGGAAACUGCCCGAUGGAGGGGGAUAACUACUGGAAACGGUAGCUAAUACCGCAUACCAUCGGAUGUGCCCAGAUGGGAUUAGCUAGGAGGUGGGGUAACGGCUCACCUAGGUGACGGUCCCUAGCUGGUCUGAGAGGAUGACCAGCCCACAUGGAACGGGGACACGGUCCAUAGUCCUAGGAGAGGCAGAGGUGGGGAAUAUUGGACAAUGGACGGAAGCCUGAUGCAGCCAUACCGCGUGGAUGAAGAGGGCCUUCGGGUUGUAAAGUACGUUCAGCGAGGAGGCGUUACUCGCAGAAGAAUCACCGGCUAACUCCGUGCCAGCAGCCGCGGUAAUUC
rnacentral:rRNA from 1 species